rnacentral:rRNA from 1 species
GCAGGGUAGCUACGUUUGGAAGAGAUAAGUGCUGAAAGCAUCUAAGCACGAAGCUCCCCUCAAGAUGAGGUCUCCUUUAAGGGUCGUUCAAGAUUAGGACGUCGAUAGGCUGUAGGUGUAAAGGCAGCAAUGUCAAAGCCGAGCAGUACUAAUUACCCGAAAGCUUUUCUUA